UACAGAGGGGGCAAGCGUUGUUCGGAAUUACUGGGCGUAAAGGGCGCGUAGGCGGCCGCCUAAGUCAGACGUGAAAUCCCUCGGCUCAACCGGGGAACUGCGUCUGAUACUGGGUGGCUUGAAUCCGGGAGAGGGAUGCGGAAUUCCAGGUGUAGCGGUGAAAUGCGUAGAUAUCAAGAGGAACACCUGCGGCGAAGGCGGGUUGCUGGGCCGACACUGACGCUGAGGCGCGAAAGCUAGGGGAGCGAACGGG
rnacentral:rRNA from 1 species